UUAUUUAACACAAUUGAGUGGACACUUCAGGAAAUAACAAAUCAUUGAAUUAAUUUCAAACAUACUCUUUUCCAUGCUGCCAAAUGUUAAUCCACAAUUGGCUUCCUCAAAAAACAAUUUUCCCCCAUUUUCCCAUAAACCAUUUCAUACGCCUUACUUCUUGUGUUGCAAUCACUCUUGUCUCAGUCAUAGGCGUCCAUACUUCAUUUUUUGUUCUUCGUCUUCUACGUUGCACAAUACGCUUGGGUAGAAGACUCUGGCGCGCGCGAGGUCACCGCUCAAUCGAUACAUUUGCAGUUAGAUUUUUAAGCAACCAUGUCAAGACCACCUAUUCUAAUCAAGGAUUUGGUGAAAGGGAAUCAAGUGUUGAAAAUUCUAAUUCGUAUCGUUGACCUUUGGGUUGUUAAAGAGAAUAAUGGAUUGUAGCAUAUCGAAAUGGUCAUACAAGAUGUUAAGUGUGAUCAAAUUCACGUGAAAACUCAGAGAAAAUGGGCACAUAAGGCUUUCCUUUUAGACAUGUAAGAAAAAGGGGCACAUAAGGCUUUCCUUUUAGAUACUCACACCAGAAUUGGUAGACCUUCACAUACGUCCAACUUGCGGGAUGAAGUUGUGAAGGAGUCAUUGCCAGGUGCUUUAGGACUCCUAUCUCAAAGGCAGUAAAGGGUAAGCGAAUACCCAAAAAUAAGAAAGUACACUUAUAAAAAGGAGUGGUACAAUUUCCAUACUUACUGCACAUUCUUUGAUCCUUGAUGGGAGUUAAGGAACCCCAACCUGAUAAUGGGCUAACUUCAAGAAAGGCUUCAUCGAGACUAUCGUUCCUGGAAAAAAUAGAAACCGUGGAAGAGUAAAUAAAAUCCGCCCAAAAAGAUAAAGCACUCUUUUGGGAUUUGUGAGCAAUCUUCUAUGAUUUUUUUUUACCUAUUAUGCAUUAACUUUUCAAAAACAGGAAAGCAAAAUAUCAAAGAAAAAGAUAACCGCUACACUGAGGAAAUGACUCGAGGAAAAAGAAACAAUGAUGAAUCUUCAAAAAACUAUACCCUAGCAUGCAAAGGAAGUACACUCUACAAAACAUGUCAAAUCACUCACACGUAACACUCAAAUAUUUUGGUUCCCAAGAACCGUAAUGAUGAUACAUCUGAAAAGAUGUUUGAAGUAGGAAGCAUUAAAUGCACGAAUUCCCAGGAAACUCAAACAUUUUCUUUUGAUCUUACCAACAUAAAGGAGAGAUUGGAAACCAAAGACAAAAUGGCAAACCCAUGCCUUGUCGGGCAUAGGCACAAGC